CAACCCGGCAACGGGAGCGGUCCGCGUGACUCCGCUGAGGAGUACGACAUAGGGCGGAAACCGGGGAAGGCGGUGGGAAUCCGUCGCUGCCCCGCAUCUGUGACCGGAACGAAACCCGCGGCAUCGCCACUGGGGGAGGGAAUUUCCCCCCGGGAAGGCGCGGGGAGUAGGAGGCCGGAAGCCAGAAGACCCGGGCCGCUCGAUAUCCAAAACG
rnacentral:ncRNA from 2 species